UACGUAGGGUGCAAGCGUUAAUCGGAAUUACUGGGCGUAAAGCGUGCGCAGGCGGCUUUGCAAGACAGAUGUGAAAUCCCCGGGCUUAACCUGGGAAUGGCAUUCGGGACUGCAAGGCUGGAGUGCGGCAGAGGAGACUGGAAUUCCUGGUGUAGCAGUGAAAUGCGUAGAUAUCAGGAGGAACGCCGAUGGCGAAGGCAGGUCUCUGGGCUGACACUGACGCUCAUGCACGAAAGCGUGGGGAGCAAACAGG
rnacentral:rRNA from 1 species